CGUUAUUCUUGCUGGUUAGGUUAAUUGAACCCAUUCUAUGUUAAGAUAAAAAUAACAAAGGAUUGGAGCUAGAUUUACUAUGAGCAGCAGAUCCUAGCUCAUGGGGUACUCUGAGUUUAGGAUGUGAUUUCCAUUGACUCAUCCUUCCAGCUGCACCCAGCUGCCUAAAAAAAAUGCUCUGGUGAUUUGGGAAUAUGCUGGAUCCAACACAGAGAAUAUUUUAGCAUCUUGAAAACAAACAAAUGUAUUGAGAAAUUUCUUUAUAGGCAAUAUUUUACUUUUUAAACCAUAUUCAAGAUGGCACUGUGGUAGGCUGGUCUUUUGCGGGCUCCGUGUGGUCGUUAGCUUUUUAACAGCCUUUUAACAGUUUUUUUUAAAACAACUUUUAACAAUUUUGCCGCUCUCUGGACUAGAAGACCUGGGACUGAGAUCCAGGGUAGCAAAGGUUGCCUGGGAGGACCAGUCCUGAUGCCAUUGAAAGUGUGAGAGAGGAAAAAAUGGAGCGCGAGCCCAGCGUGGAAGGAGGGAGAGGGAGUCCUCCCACCACCACUAAGACCAGCAUUUGAAAAUCUUUAACUCUACCCGGCAGCCAAAAAAUCUAAGGACCUUUACUUCCGCAUCAUACCUGCUGAGACCACCACCAUUCUGGGGGCAAGCGUGUUCAUGCAGGUUCUGUUGUCGGUUUUGGGGAGGCGGUGUGCUUUGGCAGCUGGGCGCCCCUGCAGUUGCUGCUGGGUCACUGUUGGGGCUGCUGCUUUGCUGCUGCUGCUGCCGUGGAGCAUUGAUGUUGCUGCUCCUCCUUGCAGCAUCAGUGCGAGGCGUUGGUGUGAGGGUUAGAACUUUGUUCGACCCUGCUUGUGGGCCGGUGGUCGGCAGGGGAAGUGCGGGGCGUGGCUGUUGUGUCGGCUGCCUAUCGCUGCCUCCUGCGCCUGGCCUUGCCUUCUCCUUGCUGCCCUGGAGUGGCCAAACUGGACGGACUGGAGUGGCAGCCGGCUGGUGGAGGUGUUGCCCAGCUGCUACUAGUGCCCAGCUGGACAGGCCGCCCUCGCUGAGGAUCUGGGCUUGCUGCUGUUACCAUCGUUGCAACAGAGGGAAGGAAAGGGAAGGGUGCAUGUGCCACCUUUGGCGUUUAGCCUCCAACAACAUUCUGGUGAUGAGGUGGAGGAGCAGCUAACAAGAAUAGCUGUUUGAGCAUUGGACUACUUUGGACAAGGGUUCAAUUCUCCAUUCAGCUGCGAAAAUCAGUGGGUGACCUUGACAAGUCACACACACUCAGUUCCAGAAGACUCUGCAAUAGGUUCACCUUGGAGUCACCAUACAUUGGAAAUGAUAUGAAGGCACAUAACAAUAGCAAAUUAUUCAACAUUAACACUCCCUGGAAUAUUUUUCAAAAUUAGAAGUGAAUUUUAUGUUUUAAUGUGCCUCUUCCCACUUCUUUCAUUUUAUGCAGCCUUUGAAACUGGGAUGUGGAUUCUCUGCUCUUCCACCUAUGACUUCAUACAUUAGGUUUUCUAUACCCAUCUGACUUCCCUGAAUUUCCCAGUGAUGGGAUGGUGGUUGUGUCAAGGUGCCACACUUGUGAGAUAAAAAGGAGCACUUAGGGCACCUCACUUGAGUAAGCUUUGAUUUUUGUUUUCAACAAUUGAGGAGGCAGACGAGGAGGCUGCAUUUGUAUUUCAUGCUAAGUUUCUCUCUCUUCAUCUUUUAUUAAAAGGAUCUUUGUGC
rnacentral:lncRNA from 11 species